CCUACGGGGUGCACCAGUAGGGAAUCUUCGGCAAUGGACGAAAGUCUGACCGAGCAACGCCGCGUGAGUGAAGAAGGUUUUCGGAUCGUAAAACUCUGUUGGUAGAGAAGAACGUUGGUGAGAGUGGAAAGCUCAUCAAGUGACGGUAACUACCCAGAAAGGGACGGCUAACUACGUGCCAGCAGCCGCGGUAAUACGUAGGUCCCGAGCGUUGUCCGGAUUUAUUGGGCGUAAAGCGAGCGCAGGUGGUUUAUUAAGUCUGGUGUAAAAGGCAGUGGCUCAACCAUUGUAUGCAUUGGAAACUGGUAGACUUGAGUGCAGGAGAGGAGAGUGGAAUUCCAUGUGUAGCGGUGAAAUGCGUAGAUAUCUGGAGGAAUACCGGUGGCGAAGGCGGCAUCCUGGACCAUUACUGACGCUGAUGCGCGAAAGCUAGGGGAGCAAACGGGAUUAGAUACCCCAGUAGUC
rnacentral:rRNA from 1 species